rnacentral:rRNA from 1 species
UUACGGGAGGCAGCAGUGGGGAAUAUUGGGCAAUGGAGGAAACUCUGACCCAGCGACGCCGCGUGCGGGAUGAAGGCCUUCGGGUUGUAAACCGCUUUCAGUAGGGAAGAAGCGAAAGUGACGGUACCUACAGAAGAAGCACCGGCUAACUAUGUGCCAGCAGCCGCGGUAAUA